rnacentral:rRNA from 1 species
GACGUAGGGCGCGAGCGUUGUCCGGAUUUAUUGGGCGUAAAGAGCUCGUAGGCGGCUUGUCGCGUCGACUGUGAAAUCCCGCGGCUCAACUGCGGGUCUGCAGUCGAUACGGGCAGGCUAGAGUUCGGUAGGGGAGACUGGAAUUCCUGGUGUAGCGGUGAAAUGCGCAGAUAUCAGGAGGAACACCGGUGGCGAAGGCGGGGUCUCUGGGCCGAUACUGACGCUGAGGAGCGAAAGCGUGGGGAGCGAACAGGA